rnacentral:rRNA from 1 species
UACGGAGGGUGCAAGCGUUAUCCGGAUUCACUGGGUUUAAAGGGUGCGUAGGUGGGCAGGUAAGUCAGUGGUGAAAUCUCCGGGCUUAACCCGGAACUGCCGUUGAUACUAUUUGUCUUGAAUGUCGUGGAGGUGAGCGGAAUAUGUCAUGUAGCGGUGAAAUGCUUAGAGAUGACUAGAACACCGAUUGCGAAAGGCAGCUCACUACGCGAAUAUUGACGCUGAG